CCUGGGGAGGGAAAGCACUGUUUUUACCUCCAUUGCCUACAGAUGGAGUGUUGGGGAGCUUUGGGUUAGGAGGAGGGGCUGUAGGGAGAAGUAAUUGCUGCUUCUGGAUUGGUUGGGACCAACAGACCAGAAAGUUUACCUGUAAACAGGACAGUAGCUGGCAGUGAUCGGAUUUAAGUCAUGUUUCAGUAGAAACAGUCUUUCUGUUGGUUUUGCUCUCGGCUGUUAACUGAUUAACUUCCCUUAUCUCUCCCCCCACCCCUUGCCAUUAAACUUAGGACAUCUCAGAAUUUUUAUUUUAUCAAUUCCUACCACAUUGUUAUGAAACAAGCUUUUACUGAAGACCCUACAAGGAAAAAUGGACACUGGGACCUUGAUUUUCUGCUGCCUUCGGACUUGGACUUGGACUAGAACUUACACCAUCAGCUCUCCUGAUUCUAUAGCUUUCUGGCUGACUGCAGAUCUUGCGACUUCUUAGCCUCCAUAUUUCCAUCAUCGGAGUGAUGAUCAUUCAUGGUGUCAUCUGGCAGCAAAGAUAUGCAAAAUAUCUCUACCGGGUACUCCUAAUCAACCACUUGUAAGAAGCAAGGAACUGGGCCAGUGCUGUGGCGUAAUGGGCUAAAGCCUCCACCUGCAGUGCCAUCGUCCGAUAUGGGUGCCGGUUCACGUCCCGACUGCUCCUCUUUCGAUCCAGCUCCCUGCUUAGGUGCCUAUUAAGGCAGCAGAAGAUGGCCCAAGUCUUUGGGCCCCUGCAUCCAUGUGGGAGAUCCAGAAGAAGUUCCCGGUUCCGGGCUUCAAAUCGGCCCAUUGCAGCCAUUUGGGGAGUGAACCAUCAGAUGGAAGAUCUCUCUCUGUCUCCUUUUUUUGUGUAACUGCCUCUCAAUUAAAUAAAUAAGUGAAAGUAUUAAGGUAGGCAUUUGGGGAAGUAAUUAAGUCUGGAGAGUGCAGCUCUCAUGGAUGGGAUUAGGGCUCUUAUAAAAGGGCCUAAAGGAGUGGGUUCUUCCUCCUCCCAUCCCUCUGCUGUGGUGUGAGUCCCUCCCAGAGGAAGCAGUGCCCAUAGCACUGGAAUCCAGAAGCAGAGGCCAGACCCUCACAAGACACCAGACCUGCCAGCACCUGGAUCUUGGACUUGCAGCCUCCAACCUCAUGAGAAAUACAUUUCUGCUGUUCAUAAGUUACCCAGGCUUGGCUAUCGUUAGAGCAGCACAAAUGGACCCACGACGGGGAAAGGAGGAACGGGCAGAGAUGCUGAGAUGGCUGAAACAGGAAGGGCAGCAGUGGAGGAGCGGGGUCCCACCGACACGUUCUGCUCUUCCUGCACAAGGACUCCCACUUUGUUUCAGAAUCAUGUCUUCAUGUCUCUCUUCCCACUCAACACAGAAUUUCUUCCUGAGGCCAGGAGCUGCUUCUUCUUCGUCUUUAUAUUCUGAGAGUCCAGCACAGAACUGGACUUAGAAAGCCUCCAGGAAUAUGUUGAAUUAUAAACUAGGAAGUCAUAUAAUCUUCAUCUGCUCUUCUCCAGCUCACUAGUGAGCAAGUGCAAUCGGAGACAGGGCUGCUGCAUUGCAAUGGUAGGAAAGACGCAGUGGGUGCGGCUGCCCACGCACCUGCGCAUAACAGGCAAACAGGCACCUGCUGUACCAACACAGCACAGCCUCUGCCUCAGAACCCUAAAGGUAUAAGAAGGGGCAAACAAGUCAUCAACUGAAAAAACACAAAUGAAACUUUCUCCAAGCCUCAUUGACUGGAUGGUUUAACAAAUACUUUACUUAUCUCAGCAAAUCAGAGAAUUUAGGACUCUUAACUUCUAGUCAAACACUCCAAUUAAGUAAAACCUAGUAAAGUAGAAGGGAGGCACAACCUAUAAUUCUCCUUCUGGUUACAAAUCCCAAAGGUGGGGUUGGUGCUGUCACACAGCAGGUUAGAGCCCCCGGCUGCAGUGUCAGCAUCCCCUAUGUACACUGGUUCAGGUCCCGGCUGCUCCAUUUCUUUUUUUAAUUUAAAAAGAUGUAUUAGAGUCAAAGACCUCCAGCCAAGCCUCCAGCAUGGAGGGGUCUUCCAAGAGAGGAAAGAACUCAAAGAACCUUGAAGCACUGGGGCUUUUAAGUACAAUUUUGAAGAGGAAAAAAAAAACUUAACAAUCAGAUUGACCUUCAGCUACAAGGCAGGGACAAAACCCAUCAAAAGACCUGGUUUACAAUCUUUUAUCCUAUCUGGCUUGCUCAAGAUAAAACAAAAAAUCAUCCAGAAGGGUGGGAUGGGUAACUUGUUUUCAAUAAUACACUGUGAGUUUAGGAAAAUGAAAUCACUCCUCCCUUGCUAUUCUCAUGGUAAAUAUGGAGAUUCCUAAGGUAGGAGGGCAGACAUUUUGUUCUUGCUAAAGAUAACCUUUUUGGGGAAGGAAGCAAAUAUUUUACACCCCAAAUUCCACUGGGAUCCCCUGAAUACCUACUAACCCUUCCCACUGCUCACCUCCUCCCUCAACACGAUUGGACCCUAACAUCUGUUAGGGGGGACUGGACAAUGAUCGCUCUGGCUGCUUCAUGCUGAAAAUGGACAUUGUGGGGCCAGCACUGUGGCAGAGCAGGUAAAACUGCUGCCUGCAGUGCAGAUAUCCCAUAUGGGUGCUGGUUCGACCCGGCUGCUCCACUUCUGAUCCUCUCUGCUAUGGCCUGGGAAAGCUGUGGAAGAUGGCCCAAGUCCUUAGGUCCCUGCACCCGUGUGGGAGACACGGAGGAAGCUCCUGGCUCCUGGCUUCAGAUCGGCACAGCUUCAGCCAUUGUGGCCAAGCAAGGAGUGAACCAGCAGAUGGAAGACCUCUCUCUCUCUCUCUCUCUUUCUGCCUCUCCUUCUCUCUGCGUAAUUCUGACUUUCAAAUAAACAAAUAAAUAAAUCUUUAAACAAGAAAGAGAGAGAGAGAGAGAGAGGAAGGAAGGAAGGAAGGAAGGAAGGAAGGAAGGGAAAAUGGGCGUCUUCAGGAAGCGGAGUCAAGACAGGGUUGCAGCAGGAGGUGGCUUCUCCAGGGGGAUGCAGUGCCAGCUGCAGAAAUGGCUUCCACUGGAGGUUUCAUACAUGGCCACUUAGAAUUUUACUUUUUUAAGUCUGGAGAAAACAAAUCCAACAUACAGAAUCUAAAACCGAGGACAGAGUCAUUACUAGAAGUCCUAAGAAAGGUGUCUAACUCAUUAGCAAGUUUUUUCAUUGAGAGGCAAAUAGAAACUACCAGAAAGGGCUUGAAAAUAAUCAAGCGGGCUUUAAGGCCUUGCCAGUUAUGAGGCUCAGACCUAUCUCUCUACAUGGGGUACAUCUUAAGGGAGGCACCCUACUGACUUUCAUUAUCUAGCUGGCCUGCGAGGGAGUUGGCUUGCAAAGAACAUAGGUGGCAUUGCUCCAUGUCUGACACAGCUCCCUGCCUGGAAAGCAGCAGAGGAUGUCCCAAGUCCUUGGGCCCCUGCACCCAUGUGGGAGACCCAGAGGAAGCUCCUGGUUCCUGGCUUUGGAUCAGCGCAGUUCCAGCUGCUGUGGCCAUUUGGGGGAGUGAACCAGCAGAUGGAAGACUUUUCUUUUUCUCUACUUCUCUCUGUAACCCUGCCUUUCAAAUAAAUAAAAUAAAUCUAAAAAAAAAAAAAAAAAA